CAAGUGCAUGUGCUUUCCUUGGGAAGUAUAUAGGGAACAAAAGUUCUUACUUCCGGGCCGGCACACUGGGCUGCAACUUCGGGAUUAGUUUAAGGGUAUAUUUGUAAAUCAUAAUAUUUCUUUAUAAGCCCUAGGAUUUCAGUAGAAGAAGAGUUGAAGACUACUAGUAUCAGGGAGAGAGAGUGCGGCGGCGGUGAGAGAAAAACGCCAGUAAUCAGAGUUCUGCUCUUGCCGUUUCCAAAAUCAGAUGGGGGCUUAUGAUGAAGAUAAUUUUGGCUUUAUAUGGGAAGCUUUACAUAUACCUUGGAGAGAAGAGAGACCUGGAUCUUAGAAAUUGUCUCUCAAAAUGACUUAUCCUCUCAAAUCUAGGAUGUUUGAUGAAAUUUUCUUCUUGAUACCAUCGGAGUUUUCUAUGUAAGGGAUGGUGCUGGGUGAAUCCUACUUCCUGUCUUAGGUUUAUCUUGCGGUUCAUCAUCUUCGAACUCCUAAGCUUCGGAAAUAGAUCAAUUUUUGAGUACUGACCUCACCCUCAAAAUUGGGUAUCAAGUUUGUGCCAUAGACCUCUCUACCACUGCUGAAAUAGUAAAUUGUAAAUCUGCUGGUAAUUCGUUCCUGAGAUAGAGAUGUUUUAAGUUGUUUGUUUUUUCAUCAUCAUUAUCUAAAAAGGCUUGUCGGGUAUGUUUACGAGUACAUCACCAUCAGUUGACAAGUCCUCCAUACAUUAUAAGCUUGCUUCACGCAAUGUAUAACCUCUUGCAAUGCAGCCAUCAAUAUAUCUUUUAUUUGCGUA